CUUAAAACCUGAAAAAUAAGGCAGAAAGAUUGGCUCUGAGAGCUUUGACCCAUGAGUUGGUUUUCUCAUAAUUCUAAAAGCUGAGCAUUAUAAAAAAAAAAAAAAAAAGAAAAAAGAAACCAGCCCAGCCUUUGCCAUCCGUGAUGAAUUCCCCGUGUUCCAGCAGAUCUGCACAGUGGUAGGCUGGUUCCUGCUGGAGCUGGGUGUUUGCCAUGCUUUCCUAGAGAAGCUCUCUGCCACUCUCCCUGCAACAUUAAUUCCGAACAACAGAGAUGGAAUGAAAUGUAGAUUUGAAAGCAAGCCACGAGAUGCAUUUCUAAGCUUUGGUCUUGUUGAUGUACUGCGGCCUCACUCUGUAUAAUCCACACGAGUUCCACAUGCUGGAAUGGAGCUGGGAGAUCUGUGAGCUCAGAGCUUCAGUUCUCUCUCCAUCAUAUCUUGAUGAAACACUGCUCAGGAGAGGCUGCCACAAGCUGGGUACAGGAAUCCUCAUCCACAUGGGCUGGCAUCGGCACAGGGAGCAGCAGGAGAGAGCAGGAGAUGCUGAAAGAGGUGAUCAAAGAUCCCUGUGAAUAUCCUGACAGUCAGUUCUACGCCUUAGGAUUUUUGCAGUAAACAGGGAAAAGCCACUUCAGAAAAGCUGGCAAAGGCGAGUUUAAAACAUGGGAUGAAGAUUGGUGUUUUCCCUUCAUUACAAACCAACCAAUUUGGAACCUGAGAUUUUCUUGCUUGUGAAUGCUUCUUGUGUCUUCCCAAAGUGGGACAUACCCACAAGCAAUUUUAUAAAUUGAAGACAAACAUUUCAGUCACGAAGCCAGUUUAACUUCACAGGCAAAACAAGAACAGCAUUAACCCAGCAUUCUUGAAGUAACAUUUGAGUUUUUCUGUUAAAAAAUAAAUUACUGACUGCAGGAGGAAGAAAGGAAUCA
rnacentral:lncRNA from 1 species